AGAAUCAACGCUGGCGGCGCGCUUAACACAUGCAAGUCGCACGAGAAAGUGGAGCAAUCCAUGAGUAAAGUGGCGUACGGGUGAGUAACACGUGGAUCAUCUACCUCUUAGUGGGGAAUAACCCUGGGAAACCGGGGCUAAUACCGCAUAAGCCUGCAAAGGGAAAGCAGCAAUGCGCUGAGAGAGGAGUCCGCGGCCGAUUAGCUAGUUGGUAGGGUAAUGGCCUACCAAGGCAAUGAUCGGUAGCCGGCCUGAGAGGGCACACGGCCACACUGGCACUGAAACACGGGCCAGACUCCUACGGGAGGCAGCAGUGGGGAAUCUUGCACAAUGGAGGAAACUCUGAUGCAGCGACGCCGCGUGAGCGAUGAAGCCCUUCGGGGUGUAAAGCUCUUUCGACGGGAACGAUAAUGACGGUACCCGGAGAAGAAGCUGCGGCUAACUACGUGCCAGCAGCCGCGGUAAUACGUAGGCAGCAAGCGUUGUUCGGAAUUACUGGGCGUAAAGAGUGUGUAGGCGGUUCUCUAUGUUCGGUGUGAAAUCUCCCGGCUUAACUGGGAGGGUGCGCCGAAAACUGGAGGGCUUGAGUAUGGGAGAGGAAAGCGGAAUUCCUGGUGUAGCGGUGAAAUGCGUAGAUAUCAGGAGGAACACCUGCGGUGUAGACGGCUUUCUGGACCAUCACUGACGCUGAGACACGAAAGCGUGGGUAGCAAACAGGAUUAGAUACCCUGGUAGUCCACGCCCUAAACGAUGCAUACUUGGUGUGAGCCGUUCAUUCGGUUCGUGCCGGAGCUAACGCGUUAAGUAUGCCGCCUGGGGAGUACGGUCGCAAGGCUGAA
rnacentral:rRNA from 1 species